CUACUUAGGGGCUCUCUCCUCACAGGUCCCUGAGUCUGGUCAGAGACACUGUCCUUACUGUAGGGGCUCUCUCCUCACAGGUCCCUGAGUCUGGCCAGAGACACUGUCCUUUACGGUAGGCUUCUCCUCACAGGUCCCUGAGUCUGGCCAGAGACACUGUCCUUACUGUAGGGGCUCUCUCCUCACAGGUCCCUGAGUCUGGCCAGAGACACUGUCCUUACUGUAGGGGCUCUCUCCUCACAGGUCCCUGAGUCUGGCCAGAGACACUGUCCUUACUGUAGGGCUCUCUCCUCACAAGGUCCCUGAGUCUGGCCAGAAGACACUGUCCUUACUGUAGGGACUCUCUCCUCACAGGUCCCUGAGUCUGG
rnacentral:lncRNA from 1 species